GCCUGGGUGGCUCAGUCGGUUAAGCGUCUGACUUUGGCUCAGGUCAUGAUCUCAUGAUUUGUGAGUUUGAGUCCCACAUCAAGCU
rnacentral:tRNA from 1 species